rnacentral:snRNA from 1 species
GUGCUCGCUUCGGUAGCCCAUGUACUAAAAUUGGAAUGAUACAGAGAAGAUUCGUAUGGCCCCUGCUCAAGGAUAACACACAAAUUCUUGAAGAGUUCCAUAUUUUU